rnacentral:rRNA from 1 species
GCACAACGCGAAGAACCUUACCAAGGCUUGACAUCCACGAAUCCUGUGGAAACAUAGGAGUGCCCCUUUGGGGAGCGUAGAGACAGGUGGUGCAUGGUUGUCGUCAGCUCGUGUCGUGAGAUGUUGGGUUAAGUCCCGCAACGAGCGCAACCCUUAUCCUUUGUUGCCAGCGGUUCGGCCGGGAAACUCAAAGGAGACUGCCAGUGAUAAACUGGAGGAAGGUGGGGAUGACGUCAAGUCAUCAUGGCCCUUACGAGUAGGGCUACACACGUGCUACAAUGGCGUAUACAAAGAGAAGCGACCUCGCGAGAGCAAGCGGACCUCAUAAAGUACGUCGUAGUCCGGAUUGGAGUCUGCAACUCGACUCCAUGAAGUCGGAAUCGCUAGUAAUCGUAGAUCAGAAUGCCGCGGUGAAUACGUUCCCGGGUCUUGUACACACCG